GUCGAGCGAGUGGAGUUCUUCGGAAAAAGCUAGCGGCGGACGGGUGAGUAACACGUGGGCAACCUGCCUCAUAGAGGGGAAUAGCCUCCCGAAAGGGAGAUUAAUACCGCAUAAGAUUGUAGCUUCGCAUGAAGUAGCAAUUAAAGGAGCAAUCCGCUAUGAGAUGGGCCCGCGGCGCAUUAGCUAGUUGGUGAGGUAACGGCUCACCAAGGCGACGAUGCGUAGCCGACCUGAGAGGGUGAUCGGCCACAUUGGGACUGAGACACGGCCCAGACUCCUACGGGAGGCAGCAGUGGGGAAUAUUGCACAAUGGGGGAAACCCUGAUGCAGCAACGCCGCGUGAGUGAUGACGGCCUUCGGGUUGUAAAGCUCUGUCUUCAGGGACGAUAAUGACGGUACCCGAGGAGGAAGCCACGGCUAACUACGUGCCAGCAGCCGCGGUAAUACGUAGGUGGCGAGCGUUGUCCGGAUUUACUGGGCGUAAAGGGAGCGUAGGCGGACUUUUAAGUGAGAUGUGAAAUACCCGGGCUCAACUUGGGUACUGCAUUUCAAACUGGAAGUCUAGAGUGCAGGAGGGGAGAAUGGAAUUCCUAGUGUAGCGGUGAAAUGCGUAGAGAUUAGGAAGAACACCAGUGGCGAAGGCGAUUCUCUGGACUGUAACUGACGCUGAGGCUCGAAAGCGUGGGGAGCAAACAGGAUU
rnacentral:rRNA from 1 species